rnacentral:snRNA from 1 species
GGGCUCUCACCUCGGCACCACAUAUACUAAAACUGGGAUGACCAGAGGAGAUCAGCAUGGUCCCUGCACAAGGAUGACAUGCAAAUCUGUGAAGCAUUCCAUUUCUUU